GCAAAUUAAUCAAAGCGAUCACAACCAUCUUAAGUGACUAUCUCAUCAACAGAUUUGGAUACCAUCCAAGUGCUCAUCAUAAAAACAAUGUUGCAAUAUCUCUGGUCAAUAAAUAUGAUGUUUUGAGAUCGAACAGCGCUGAAGUGCCACAGGCCCUAUGGUUUUAUCCACACGGACGCGGACAUGGAAGACAUAGCGGUAAAUUGAACUACCAUAUAGAGUACAUGGUCAAGAAAUUCGAGAAGCAGAUUCGACGGACAAAGGAUGGAAAUGUUGCCAUUGAAACUGUGGACACCAUCGUUAGUGAUUUAACCGACGAUCAGUUAAAUGAUGUGAUUGCCAAAUUAAAGUUCAUCGUUCCGUCAGAAGCGUCGUUCGAGAUAAUUAAGUCUGGCUGGAUGAAAACAUUUGAGGCGCGAAUUUGCAUUACGAAGUAAGGAGAAUCCAGGAGAUUUAAUAGAAAUCAUAAUGGAACAAUUUCCUUUGUCGACGUCAUUUAAUGGACAAUUGAUAAACUUGGAAUUCAAUGAAAUGUUUUCAGCAGUCAUUGCCAACUGGGGCCAGUGGAGUGCUCUUCAAGAGAAGGUCCUGAACAAUUUCAACGACCUGCACUCAACUGUGAACACUAAAUUCAUACGAACAUUGCUGAUCAUAAAGGAUAAAAAUCCAUCCCGAGGCGUUAAAAGGGUCAAUAAAGGAUCGCAAAAAAUUGCAAACCUCCUGGAAGGCAUCAUUGAAUGGAUAAAUCCGGAGGAUGAUGUCGAGCAGUAUACAUAGGGCUAUCGGAGCAGCACAAAUCCGGUGUUGAUCAUUGAAGCCCAACUGUACUGUGAAGGAGUUUGUUUUAUCCGUAUUGGAAAACGUUUUUUUUCGGUAGACUCCGAAAUUGAGGAAGCGUUCGGAACAUUAACAUUAAUUUUAGGACACAUUACUUUUUCAACUGUAAAUUUGAUGCCGCACAUGCUAACUUUUUCUCAUUUUUUACGGGGGCUAUUUUGAACAUAACUAAGCCAUCCACUACCGUGAAUGAUUUCAUCGUAAAGUUGAAAUAAGCUGUUAACUG